GCAUUUAACCGUGUAAUGAGAACGCCCCAUCUCGGAAGUUAAGCAACGUCAGGCCCAGUUAGUACUUGGAUGGCAGACCGCCUGGGAAUACCGGGUGUUGUAAGCU
rnacentral:rRNA from 1 species